rnacentral:tRNA from 1 species
GCCCGGAUGGUGAAAUUGGUAAACACAAGGGACUUAAAAUCCCUCGGCUAUAAAUGCUUUGCGGGUUCAAUUCCCGCUCCGGGUACCA